CAAUAGUGAAUGUUUGUUUUGCCACGUCACUAUACACGUCAACAUUUUUUAAGAUUGUGGACUCCACUUUAUUUUCGGUUCUUUAGUUUUAUGAGUAAGUGAACCAAACUAUGUCGUUUUAUCACAGCCCCUCUCAGAUUAGGUUUUCAUUGUUCUCUUACUUCGACUCUUUAACCUUGCCGUCUCUGGUGUCUCUUCACCUUCAUCUCUUUUCAUAUACAUGUAUUCCUUUGGCUUCGUUCAUAUUCCUCUUAAAUUUUGGAGAUGGUUCAGAGUAUGAUAGAAUCUUCACAGACCUUCUCAGAUACUCUUCUAUCUCAAACCUAGAUACCUGCUUCGAAAAUGUCUUCAUCUUAUGUUGUUGUAGUUCAAGACCAGUCCGCCACUCAACCUUUUGAUGCUCUCCUUAAAGGCUGACUGCAGACAGAUAGUCUGACACGGCUGCUUCGAUUUUGGGCUGAUUUAUGGGAAGUCAACACUAAUAAAAGCCUCUAUCAACCUGUAAAGGUUAAACACCUUCAGAGAAAUCUUGCAAGAGAGAUCGUUUUAUGAGCAACACGAACUUCAGGGUUUAAACCAAUGUAAUUAAUGGAUGCCCUUCAAAAAAAAUGAAGAGGAGAAGUCUAAGAAUGAAAAAACCAUCCAAUUAGUUCUGUAGAUCAAGACAAAAGGCAGAUGAAUGUAUUGAGAGAUCCAGAGAAAACGUUGAUAGCUUGGAUUCUGAACCCAGUGAGAUCUAUCGGUUUGAACUUCUAAGGAAUGAAAUGAUAUAGCUGGAAGUGGGUCCAAAGAAGUGCAUAUGAGUCACUAAAUGAAGAGUGAAGUUUUGGGGAUCCUUCUACAUAAAGCAGUAACAUGAAAAGUGUGGAGUUGAUUCAGAGCUCAAAGAAAGAAAACGUCACUGAGAAAACACUCUAUCAAAUCACAGACGUGUGGUAUUCAGCUUCUUGGAUCUGAUUCAGUUGCUGCGAUGGAGCUUCUUCGAAUGUUUGUUUUGCCACGUCACUAUACACGUCAACAUUUUUUAAGAUUGUGGACUCCACUUUAUUUUCGGUUCUUUAGUUUUAUGAGUAAGUGAACCAAACUAUGUCGUUUUAUCACAGCCCCUCUCAGAUUAGGUUUUCAUUGUUCUCUUACUUCGACUCUUUAACCUUGCCGUCUCUGGUGUCUCUUCACCUUCAUCUCUUUUCAUAUACAUGUAUUCCUUUGGCUUCGUUCAUAUUCCUCUUAAAUUUUGGAGAUGGUUCAGAGUAUGAUAGAAUCUUCACAGACCUUCUCAGAUACUCUUCUAUCUCAAACCUAGAUACCUGCUUCGAAAAUGUCUUCAUCUUAUGUUGUUGUAGUUCAAGACCAGUCCGCCACUCAACCUUUUGAUGCUCUCCUUAAAGGCUGACUGCAGACAGAUAGUCUGACACGGCUGCUUCGAUUUUGGGCUGAUUUAUGGGAAGUCAACACUAAUAAAAGCCUCUAUCAACCUGUAAAGGUUAAACACCUUCAGAGAAAUCUUGCAAGAGAGAUCGUUUUAUGAGCAACACGAACUUCAGGGUUUAAACCAAUGUAAUUAAUGGAUGCCCUUCAAAAAAAAUGAAGAGGAGAAGUCUAAGAAUGAAAAAACCAUCCAAUUAGUUCUGUAGAUCAAGACAAAAGGCAGAUGAAUGUAUUGAGAGAUCCAGAGAAAACGUUGAUAGCUUGGAUUCUGAACCCAGUGAGAUCUAUCGGUUUGAACUUCUAAGGAAUGAAAUGAUAUAGCUGGAAGUGGGUCCAAAGAAGUGCAUAUGAGUCACUAAAUGAAGAGUGAAGUUUUGGGGAUCCUUCUACAUAAAGCAGUAACAUGAAAAGUGUGGAGUUGAUUCAGAGCUCAAAGAAAGAAAACGUCACUGAGAAAACACUCUAUCAAAUCACAGACGUGUGGUAUUCAGCUUCUUGGAUCUGAUUCAGUUGCUGCGAUGGAGCUUCUUCGAAUGUUUGUUUUGCCACGUCACUAUACACGUCAACAUUUUUUAAGAUUGUGGACUCCACUUUAUUUUCGGUUCUUUAGUUUUAUGAGUAAGUGAACCAAACUAUGUCGUUUUAUCACAGCCCCUCUCAGAUUAGGUUUUCAUUGUUCUCUUACUUCGACUCUUUAACCUUGCCGUCUCUGGUGUCUCUUCACCUUCAUCUCUUUUCAUAUACAUGUAUUCCUUUGGCUUCGUUCAUAUUCCUCUUAAAUUUUGGAGAUGGUUCAGAGUAUGAUAGAAUCUUCACAGACCUUCUCAGAUACUCUUCUAUCUCAAACCUAGAUACCUGCUUCGAAAAUGUCUUCAUCUUAUGUUGUUGUAGUUCAAGACCAGUCCGCCACUCAACCUUUUGAUGCUCUCCUUAAAGGCUGACUGCAGACAGAUAGUCUGACACGGCUGCUUCGAUUUUGGGCUGAUUUAUGGGAAGUCAACACUAAUAAAAGCCUCUAUCAACCUGUAAAGGUUAAACACCUUCAGAGAAAUCUUGCAAGAGAGAUCGUUUUAUGAGCAACACGAACUUCAGGGUUUAAACCAAUGUAAUUAAUGGAUGCCCUUCAAAAAAAAUGAAGAGGAGAAGUCUAAGAAUGAAAAAACCAUCCAAUUAGUUCUGUAGAUCAAGACAAAAGGCAGAUGAAUGUAUUGAGAGAUCCAGAGAAAACGUUGAUAGCUUGGAUUCUGAACCCAGUGAGAUCUAUCGGUUUGAACUUCUAAGGAAUGAAAUGAUAUAGCUGGAAGUGGGUCCAAAGAAGUGCAUAUGAGUCACUAAAUGAAGAGUGAAGUUUUGGGGAUCCUUCUACAUAAAGCAGUAACAUGAAAAGUGUGGAGUUGAUUCAGAGCUCAAAGAAAGAAAACGUCACUGAGAAAACACUCUAUCAAAUCACAGACGUGUGGUAUUCAGCUUCUUGGAUCUGAUUCAGUUGCUGCGAUGGAGCUUCUUCGAAUGUUUGUUUUGCCACGUCACUAUACACGUCAACAUUUUUUAAGAUUGUGGACUCCACUUUAUUUUCGGUUCUUUAGUUUUAUGAGUAAGUGAACCAAACUAUGUCGUUUUAUCACAGCCCCUCUCAGAUUAGGUUUUCAUUGUUCUCUUACUUCGACUCUUUAACCUUGCCGUCUCUGGUGUCUCUUCACCUUCAUCUCUUUUCAUAUACAUGUAUUCCUUUGGCUUCGUUCAUAUUCCUCUUAAAUUUUGGAGAUGGUUCAGAGUAUGAUAGAAUCUUCACAGACCUUCUCAGAUACUCUUCUAUCUCAAACCUAGAUACCUGCUUCGAAAAUGUCUUCAUCUUAUGUUGUUGUAGUUCAAGACCAGUCCGCCACUCAACCUUUUGAUGCUCUCCUUAAAGGCUGACUGCAGACAGAUAGUCUGACACGGCUGCUUCGAUUUUGGGCUGAUUUAUGGGAAGUCAACACUAAUAAAAGCCUCUAUCAACCUGUAAAGGUUAAACACCUUCAGAGAAAUCUUGCAAGAGAGAUCGUUUUAUGAGCAACACGAACUUCAGGGUUUAAACCAAUGUAAUUAAUGGAUGCCCUUCAAAAAAAAUGAAGAGGAGAAGUCUAAGAAUGAAAAAACCAUCCAAUUAGUUCUGUAGAUCAAGACAAAAGGCAGAUGAAUGUAUUGAGAGAUCCAGAGAAAACGUUGAUAGCUUGGAUUCUGAACCCAGUGAGAUCUAUCGGUUUGAACUUCUAAGGAAUGAAAUGAUAUAGCUGGAAGUGGGUCCAAAGAAGUGCAUAUGAGUCACUAAAUGAAGAGUGAAGUUUUGGGGAUCCUUCUACAUAAAGCAGUAACAUGAAAAGUGUGGAGUUGAUUCAGAGCUCAAAGAAAGAAAACGUCACUGAGAAAACACUCUAUCAAAUCACAGACGUGUGGUAUUCAGCUUCUUGGAUCUGAUUCAGUUGCUGCGAUGGAGCUUCUUCGGAGGUCUGUAAUAGGAGAUGAAUUAACAGAGAAUGAAAAGAAAUCUCUGUGCAGGAAUAUGAUUGACUUAGCAUCAGUUGUUCCCAUUGGUGUUCUUAUGAUUCUUCAUGUUACACCAGUUUGCCAUGCACCUAUACUUGCUACAAUUCAAAGAUAUGUGCCAGGCCUGCCACUAAUCCAACGUAACGGUGCCAAAUGCAAAGAUGUGGAAUCUAUGAGGAAGACAACUUUUAUAUAUGAUUCACGGCUGAGAGUAAAUACGCACAUGCAACGACAACAAAUUUAAUGCUACUUUUCUCUGCCAUGGGUGCUCACAAGUGGGGGCUGCUGAAUGCAUCUAUCGGUGGAAUUGUCAAAGCUCUAUUUGAAUCUUAGCGUGGGAUGCAGAAGGGUAAAUGAAAGAGAAUUGUACAUUGGGGAUUAGCCAAGAAAAUCAAGAUGAGGCGCAAAAACUGUUCUUAAGAGAGAUAUAUCUAAAGGCUUUAUUGGUCACAAUGGAGAGGUGGAAGAGCUUGCGUGGGUUUUUUGAUAAGCAGAAAAAGUAAUAGAGGGACAGAUGAGUUUUAUGGAAUGUUGGUGGUGAGAGGAAGAUGAACCACAGAGAAGGAUGUGUAACAACCUGCUUAUGAGUAUAUUAGUAUAGAUGAUGCUGAUGCUGACCGAGACUGAUCAUUGACUUUGGCCAUACAUAUAACCUCAUCAAAUAAUUAAUUUAAGUACAUAUAAGAGAAUUUCUAGAAGGCAAUUGUUGAUGUUGUUGCAGGAAACCAUGAUUAAUGACCAAAUGAUGUUGCACCA